rnacentral:sRNA from 1 species
UUACCAAGUUAGUAUCGAAGCUCGUGUUUAGUAAGUGUUCUGAGUGCUGCUUUCCUGGACAGCUUCUGUUUGCCGAUGGUUGUUUAUUGAAACAUUGAAUGCACCUUGUGCGAUUGUCUGGCUAUAGAGUAUAGAAUAUCUACACCACCACAUACCAGAUGUUCCUUCAGAGUUGAAAUAAAUGAAGAUAAUCUACUUCCUAGGUGAAACCUGCAAGAUGACGGGGAAAGGCAGUGGAAAGGUAUGAAUCCUGGACCACCGAGGCCACCCAAUGACAAUCCAGCACACAUACCACAUGGCCAGGCAGCUUUUUCAUGUUUUAGAAUAGCUACAAGGCUGCAGAGAUUUGAAGCCAGGGUUUUAUGGCUCUAUAAUAAAAACUAAAGUGUAACUCUUUGAGCUAUUCUAACUUACCUAGAUAACAAUAAGCUGUCAAAUAGUGAACAGGAGACCAACUUUGAAAAUAAAGACCUCUGCUUUAACUUAGGUCAAUCCUUAGCCAAGAUAAAUCAGCAAUAUGCUCCUGCAAAAAGAUAAUUCAUUUUUUUUCAAAAGAAAAAAAAAACAACUAAUGAAGACUGUUGUCAGGAUGGUGCCAAGUUUGAACAAUGACCGCCAUCAUCCCCCCCUGUCCUCCAGUUGUGGUCUUAAACUUUAUAUCUAAGAAAAACAAAACAAAAACAUACUUUUUUUAUGCUAAAUAACAACCAGGCCUAUACAAUUUUCUACUGAACAUUUUAGGGACUUGAUGGUAAUGUUUUGAAUCAUUCAGUGUGAAAUCAAAUGUAUCAGUGAUAUUCAAACUUUGACCCAUAGGCCAUAUCCAGCGUGUGACAGGUCCUAACUGGUCACUUGAAAUUCUUACUCCCUACACAGAAUGAAACAGCAAAGAUUUAAUUCAUUGAACAUUACAAUUUUUGUGACCAGUAACACACAUAUUGGAUAUUUAUAUGGCCCCUAGAGCAAACAAGAUUCAGCACCAUUGUAAUACAUAAAGUUUGCAAACCAACAUAAAUUCUUUUUUUGGAUCUGAGAACAUUUAAAAGUAUCUGACACUAUUCAACACUUUCUAACAGCUGAAACUUUGCAAAAUACAUGGUUACAAGGAGUGUUCCUUAAAUGUGUGUGUGUUAAAAUAAAAAGUUUUGCUGUCUCGUGUAUUUCAAUGAAGUGUGAUUUAUCAGUAUAUUGUAACAGGUUCUGCGUUUCAACUAUUUUGCUAAAAAAAAUUAAAUAUACUUUUUUC